UUUUGACGUUCCCAGAUGAAUCGAGCUUUAAAGUAUCGCGAUAAACGACGAACGGGAUUCGCCAUGCAGAAACGGGUCAACGAGGUUAUCUUACACAGGGAUAAAAAAACGUGCUCGGAAUGCGAUUUUUAAUAUGUAUAGAAUACGGCCAUCGAUCUUCAACUUAUUUGCUCUGUCAACAAGAGAAGUAGAGGCACAGACCUGAAUUAAAUACAAUUUCAUAUACUCAUUUUAUAAAUACAAUAUCUUCUACAUUUCUAUUACAUUUUGCUAACUGCAAUAAUAUUUCAUAGAGAAUUCUCUUCAAUUUUUUUGAUAAUUUUAUUUGUACAAUACUCUUUCAUAAUGUAUAGAGGAAAUAAAGGUGAGAAGCUAAUUAUCGAAUUUUACUACAUAAAAUAUACUACGCUUACUGCAACGAUAUUUUACACAUAACAUAUUUUAUCAUUCAGACAGCGAUUUAUAUGCACAUGUACAUUAGAUACCUGAUAGAAAUCCUUAGCUUCUGCUUGUGCAUACAUAAUUAACGAUAUUGAUGACAUUCUACGAUGAAAGUCGCGGUCAUCUAUCACUCUGCUCGUCAAUCUUUAUCGACCGAGGAAAGCAAAACAAAACGCGAUGCAAAGAUGAAUUUAUUCGAAAAUUAAGUGAUGCAAUCUCACCUUAUCUUAAGUGCUAUUGAAUGUAGCUAUAUUAUCAUUAUUUAAGCAAUACGAUCAGAUAGCUUAGGAAUUUAAACUACCGGUUGAUGAAAUCAUUACUCGAACAAUUUUCGCAACAAAUAGUAUGGUAUACUUUCCUAGGUCUAUUUUGGAAGUGUAUUAAUUCUACUCAAAUGAUAGAUCUUAUGUAUAUCCAUUACGGGAUCAUUUUUAAGUAGUUAUUCUUCUCAAAGUUCGAUAUUAUUUUUAUUUAAUCUUUAGCAGGAAAAACAAAGUGACGCAAAGUUAAUAUGUACAUUUCAAUCUUCCGUUCGCACCUGUCGGAGUGUACCGGAUGCCGGUCAGACAACAGCGAGUGCACUGAGUAUUAAAGGCAUCAAGGUGUCCAUGUACCUUUAAGCCUACUUAAUCUUAAGAUUCGCGUUCUGCUUUAAAUCUGAACCCUUGCCUCGAAUUGGAUUAUUCAUAAAAAUUUUACAAGAACAAGAUAUAUCAAUUUAUGGUGACAAACUAUUGUGAUAGAGUGUGAUAAUCUAACGCACAUCGGACAUCGCUUUAAUAGACUCGUUUUAUUGCCCAGUUUGGUCAACAAGCAAUUUCGAGUCGGUAGGUAGACCAAACCCGGUCCUAUCUCAAGCUGUUACGAGCCUUUUGAACAGCGCGUCUACAUCUCAAGUGGAAAUAAAUCUGCCAGCCUUCGUAACUCUUUCUACCACUUCCCGCCUUUGCCCGAAAAAGGGGUCCUAGUCGUAAAAUGCCUUAAUACAUUUAGUGUGUCGAGAAAAUGUUCUCGAAACACGUGUUGCCAUUAAAAAUUUUAGUGAAGUCAAGAAAUUAGAGGUAAUGUAAAGCAGCUUACUGCCUUACUUGUUUACGAGAUUGGAGGAAACGAACGAUCUCAUGAAUAUCAAUAUAAAAAAUAGCUAUUGAUAAUUAUAUAAACCCUCUUAUUACUUUUCUUCUUAAUACAACCGCAAAAAGAUAUAAAACUGCAUGAAAUUGGAAAGCCUGCAAUUAUCCCCAAAAUUGUCUUCCGACAAGCGAUGUUAUAAGCGAGACCUUGAUGAAACCUUGAGCGGCGAGCCAGGUGGCAUCCUCCAGGAUUCGAUCGAUCCCUCGACAGUGCGGUGGGUACGACCUUGUCCGUAGGUGCUCCGCGAAGUGGAAGGCGGCUCGAGCUAAAAGGGUCGAUGACGAGAGAGUUCGGAAAUGCGCGUCCCACGUAGGAGGACGAAGCGAACAGAAAUUGAGGGGAGAGAGGCCGGAUGGAUAGUGGUUCAGCAGCAGCAGCAGCAGCAGCAGCAGCAGCAGCAGUAGAAGGUGAAGAGGAAGAAGAAGAAAGAAGGGCCGGGCGAAAGCUCAGGUGUUCCGUUUCUCGGGCCACGGACUCAUCCGUACGACGCGACGGUUUGGCGAACUCGUUGUUGGUGAACCGACGCGACGGUUCACGAUAUCCGUUCUCAUCUUCGCCCCACUGGUGCAUCUCGCGUCCGUCUGCACGCCCACGCUACCGGAGGACUCCUUAAAGUCCUACUCACAAGCAAAAUACUUGCGGCUAUCAGUUUGCCUUGCCAACCAGUUAGCGACGAUUGAUUUAUAUCUUCUUUAUUUUUUUCCCUCUUUUCCUUCGUGCUUUUACUUUUCCCUUUGUUCCUUAGUGCUUCUACAUUAGAUAAAUGUGUUAUUCUCGUAGAGAGCAGUGUUUAUGAUAAUUCAUGAAUUUGAAAUGGAAAAUUAAGAUAAGACGAUACAUCAAUAUUAUGAGAAUAUUUAUUUUAUUUAUAAUUCCGUAACAUUUUAUAAUGAUAUUCACAAUACAUGAAAGUAUGAUGUAUAAUAUAGGUAUUAAUUGUGGACUUAUAAUAUUACAUUCUAUAAUCUGUAAUUUGUGUAUGACCAAACUUGAUGAUGAAGUGAAUGAAUAUUAACAAUUUAAUACUUGAAAUUUGAGAUAUUGCAUAUAUCAUAAUUAAAACAGGAGUAUUAGGCAACGUGAAAUGUUAUCACGUACUUUGCAGUAAUGCAACAAGAACAAAUUCUUAGAAAAUCAGUAGAGCACGUGCUUUUGCGUUUGGUAACAGGCUAACAGGUGAAUUUACGUCCUAGCAGAUUCCAUUAGACUGCAGCGCUAUAGAAUUGUGACACAGCUUUCCUCAUUGGUAUGGACAACUGUGUUGCCCUUUUUUAUUGAGAACACCGACAGCGAUACUAAUUAUUUCCCGCCAUUAGGAACAGCGUUUAUCGUGCGACUGGACUACGUUCCAGCGGUCAUAAUGAAUCUAUUUUGCAAAGCCGUCUUUUCUUGCUCCGAACGUGAUACUCCUUAAUUGGUUUCUGUUUUCCACAGUAAGAUAUCUCAGGUACAGAUCGAUAAUUAUAAACCUGAUCCGAUUUUAAAGUACAGCCGUAGAUAUGUUGCAAUGAUGAUUUACGUUAAAUACCUUAGAAAAACGUACCAUUAACAAAUAUAUUCAUAAUUAAUCACGUAUUGAUUCAUACUCCAUUAGAUUUUACUUUUCUUGUCAAUUUCUUAUGUUCUAAAACAUGUCAAACAAAUUCUGCGGUUCGCACUCACUUUUAAUCGUUUGUUACAAUACAAUAUGUAAGUUGAAUCUGAUAUUUGAGAUAUUUGCCGUUAAAUGUAUUAUCACGGUAAUGCGAUUAAAACGACGUGUGCAGCGUCGAACGGCCCUUAGCCCCUGGCAAAUCGCACGUACAUAUACCAAUGCAGACAACACGAACGCGACGAGCCUACUCGUGUUGAAUGCAGAUCGCAGAUCUGCCGUGCAAUUCAAUAUGAGUAAAGGAGAUCCUCGAGAGGUACGAGCAAUUAUGACGACUACGAUUUCAUUACAUCAUUCCUAAGUGAAUCAGCUCUCGCGUGAUAAAGUACCGUCCCUGCAAUCUACUUCACUUAUGCUUGUGUUAAGAGAUGGCCAUCAAUCGACACUGAGAUUUUUUAAUUAUGCCAACUAUGGUAAUAGUUCGCAUUCGAUUUAUAAGGACAUGUAUAUUGCAAAAAAUCACUGUGCGUAUUUAAUAGUUUGAAUAGUAACUGCGAUGUUGCUUACGCAAUGGGACAACUUUAAAUAUUUAUGAUAAAAAGUAUAAACAAUAUAGGUACUAUUAAUUUUAUUAA